ACCUUCUGUGGUGUAGUUGGUAGCGCUUAGGCUUAGUAAUUAAAAGUCCCUGGUUCGAGUCCUGGUCAGGGUA